AGAAUUUGAAGAAACGCUGUAUUUUUUUAAUAAGUAUAUUUUGUGCUGAUCAUUUUAGUGUGUCUGAUUUAAUUUUUCGAGCAAAUUCACAUCCGACUUCUAUUUAUAAUCGGUAACUAUUUUUCUUGUUUUAAUCAUUCAAUUAAAGUAAUUAGAAUUUAUUAACUUAAAAUAUUGUUUAGAAAUUUAUGAAGACCACAUUUUAUUUAAUAAGGAUUAAUUUCAAAAAAUAUAAUAAGGUUGCACAUUGGAUUCUUUGUGAUUGCCAGUUGGUAUUCUCCACUCCAACGGAUAUAUAGUGACAACUAGCAUUGAGGGAAAUGAGGAGGUCACUCAUUACUGACCAACAGACUCUCUCUCGUUUACUCUCUCUUUCCAACAAAUAAGCAAAAAAAAGAAAUAAAUAAGAGGACACAUCCCUCACUCCCACUACAGACUCUGAGAAGGAAGAAAAAAAGAAAAAUUAAAUUAACAAAAAAGCUUUUCCUCUUCGUCUUCCAGAUCCACCCCUUCAUCCACGCCUCCGCACAACACCAAUACCCACCACCAUAAUCGCGACUCCUUCAACCUUUUCUCUCCAUCUGUUUCCGUUGAAAACCCUUCCACUUCCAUUCACCUCUCCACACUAUAAUCUGUACCUUAUUCUUCUUCACGAUGCCACCUCCACCAUUGUCACAUAUCCUCACCAAACCACCUCUCAUCUCCACCGCGGAGAAACCGUCACCGAAACACCAUCCUCAUCCACAACCCAACUCGAACACCACAAACCACACAACCGCCACCUUUUCUGUUUCACUCCCACGACAACUUCCGGCCAACCGCCAUAGCCGCCGUGAGAACCACCAUCCCAAACCUCCAUUCAACCGCUUCGCAGUUCUAUCUCCCUCCGACUCCGAUUUUGACGCCGUCAAUAUCAACAAUCUCAAACUUCAUUAAGAGAACAAAAAAGAAGUGGAGGUGAUUCUCGGUCAA
rnacentral:lncRNA from 1 species